rnacentral:rRNA from 1 species
CUACGUGCCAGCAGCCGCGGUAAUACGGAAGGUCCAGGCGUUAUCCGGAUUUAUUGGGUUUAAAGGGAGCGUAGGCUGGAGAUUAAGUGUGUUGUGAAAUGUAGACGCUCAACGUCUGAAUUGCAGCGCAUACUGGUUUCCUUGAGUACGCACAACGUUGGCGGAAUUCGUCGUGUAGCGGUGAAAUGCUUAGAUAUGACGAAGAACUCCGAUUGCGAAGGCAGCUGACGGGAGCGCAACUGACGCUUAAGCUCGAAGGUGCGGGUAUCAAAUAGGAUUAGAUACCCUGGUAGUCCGCACAGUAAACGAUGGAUGCCCGCUGUUGGUACCUGGUAUCAGCGGCUAAGCGAAAGCAUUAAGCAUCCCACCUGGGGAGUACGCCGGCAACGGUGAAACUCAAAGGAAUUGACGGGGGCCCGCACAAGCGGAGGAACAUGUGGUUUAAUUCGAUGAUACGCGAGGAACCUUACCCGGGCU